UGGCUCUGGCAUCGAUGAAGAACGCAGCGAAAUGCGAUACGUAAUGUGAAUUGCAGAACUUAGUGAAUCAUCGAAUCUUUGAACGCACAUUGCGCCCCUUGGUAUUCCGGGGGGCAUGCCUGUUCGAGCGUCAUUUCAACCCUCAAGCACAGCUUGGUCUUGGGCCCUGUCGGCAACGGCUGGCCUUAAAAGCAGUGGCGGUGCCGCCUCGGCUCUGCGCGUAGUAAUUCUUCUCGCGUGUGAGCGUGGCGAGCAGUGGCCAGCAACCCCUAAUUUUCUAUGGUUGACCUCGAAUCAGGUAGGGAUACCCGCUGA
rnacentral:misc_RNA from 1 species